GUCUUUAGUAAACGACCACGUGUCCGCAACAAAUGAAGAAAAGGAGAAAGUUUUAGAAGAAUUAAACACUAUUGAUGAUAUUCGUCUUGAUAGGAUAACAAAUGCCAUUAAUGAAUCACCAGAAGGGGUUGACCGUGAAAGAAUGCAUACUGCCCUAGAAUGGUUAAACCUUUGUAAAGAAGAAAGAAACCUUCUGUCCGAGUUAGAUGAACUGGAAUAUGAUUGUCAACACCAAGUUAAUGAAACAACUUUUGCACUUGAUGUUAAGAGAAAAGAAAUGAAACGCCUUGAAGAGAUAACUCAUGAAUACCAUGAUAUGAUGGUCAAAGAUGAAGAAGAUACCGGAUUUUACGUCAGAGGAACAAUAGCUUGUCAAAGUCUACCAACUUCAGGCGAACCGAUGAGCGUUUCUGAAUCUUUGUCGGAUUUGGCGAUUGAUGAAGCUAUUGAUGAUGCCAGUCAUCUCCAUCACUGCGCAAGACGCACCGAUCUUCAUCAGAAUAUAGAUGAUGAUGAGUAUUUAAGAACACAAUCUGCUCAAAUGGAACGAAACAUGGCAGAAUAUAUGAGGGAUCUCAACUUAAGUCCAAAUGGCGCUUUGGGAGAAGAUGAAGAUGAGAAUGAAGAAAUUAGUGAUGUAGAAGGAACACUGUAUUCUGAUACCGAAGUCAACCUUCAAGAUGCUGCGUUAGAGUUUUCAGAGCUAAGAACCACAGAUCAAGAAAAUGAGAAUAAAUUCAAACAGCCUGAUGAUAAACCGACAGUGUUUUCUAAAUUGGCAAAAAAUGUUGCAGGACCAAAUCUUCUUGGAAAAAUUGGCCGAAAUAUACCGCAUAUGAUGGAAUCAGGACACUUGGAUCAAAGUUCUAUAACUGAUAAGAUUCGGGGACGUUUGGGUUUGAAUUUAGAUAGAACUAGAGGUGGAAGCCACACUGAAAUUAAAAAAGGAACAGGCGUUCAUGCUACUGGCAGUGGAACGUUUUCUAAACUAAAGAAGAAAUAAACUAAAUCUUUAAUUUUUCUAAGUUAAAUCACAAGAGAUACAGCUGAAAGGAAAUCCUGUUUAUUGUUUAUUGUAGUUUAUGUUUCUGUUACCCAUGUUUUGAUUAUUUUCGUAUUUUGAUUAUUUUCACAUUUUGAUUGAAAUAAACAUUUGAGAUAAUUACCCUGAAUGCUUACAUUCUGUAAUAUAAAUUAAUAUUUACAGUAGUCAGUUUAAGUUACACUUCUAAUACCAUCAGUUACAUUUAUGGUGAUAGACAUUUUUCUUGAAUUGUUGGAAAUUAACAAACAGACCUGAACACGAGUUUCGAUCACGACAAUUCGAAUAUCCCGGGGGGUCUAAAUGAUGAACCAAAUAUUUCAACGUCUUUAAAUUGGAAGAAGAGUUAAUUAUUAUUAAAUUAUUCUUCCUAAAGAGAGUUCUUUAUUUCGCUCUAGUCUAAAACUACAAAUCAGAUGAUAUUUAUUUCUAAAAUUUUGCAUUUAUAUAUUUACUUCCGCACCAAAUUACAAACAUUUCUCUCACAUACUUA